rfam:Monoraphidium neglectum strain SAG 48.87 mitochondrion, whole genome shotgun sequence.
UGUAGUGUAGAGUAACUGGAGAACUCAUCGGGCUCAUGACCCGACGAUAAUGGUUCGAAUCCAUUCACUGCAA